CCUAGGGUCGCAGCAGUCGAGAAUCUUCCGCAAUGGACGAAAGUCUGACGGAGCGACGCCGCGUGCGGGAUGAAGGCCUUCGGGUUGUAAACCGCUGUCAGUGGGGAGGAAAUGCAUCAGGGUUCUCCCUGGUGUUUGACCGAUCCGCAGAGGAAGCGCAGGCUAAGUUCGUGCCAGCAGCCGCGGUAACACGAACUGCGCGAACGUUAUUCGGAAUCACUGGGCUUAAAGAGUUCGUAGGCGGCCUUUCAAGUCGGGUGUGAAAUCCCUCGGCUCAACCGAGGAAUUGCGCCUGAUACUGUUGGGCUUGAGGGGGAUAGGGGUGAGCGGAACUGAUGGUGGAGCGGUGAAAUGCGUUGAUAUCAUCAGGAACACCGGUGGCGAAGGCGGCUCACUGGAUCUCUUCCGACGCUGAGGAACGAAAGCUAGGGGAGCGAACGGGAUUAGAUACCCCAGUAGUC
rnacentral:rRNA from 1 species